UAGCAAAUAGACUACCAUGUAGUAAAGGAUCAACAAGAAAGUAUGAGUGGCCCAAACCCUGCCUCUUCUAAAGAAAGCUUUGGCACUUACCUGGAUCGUGGGAAAUAAUUUCUAAGCCCCUGGAACAUUUUGCCUGUUAAGAAUGUGUGUCUUUGCCAGACACCUUUGGCCCAUCAGAGAGUCUGUAGUAGCAAUGUAAUUUAUGGUGGGAAUUUUGAGCAGCACGACAUCAGCUUGACCUCUGGAGGGGAUGGAGAAAAGGUCAUCCACCUGGGUAAUCUGCCAUGUCUACGUUGUUAAACCCCCAAUAAAAACUCUGGACACGCAGACUCUGGUGAGACUCUCUGGCUGACAAUACUUAGCACGUGUUGUCACACAUCAUUGGUGGGAGAACUAAGUACUGUCUACAUGACUCAACUGGGAAAGGGCAGCUGAAAACUUAUGCCUGGACUCUCCUGGCCUCUGACCAAUAGAAAUAGCUUAUGUGCUUUUUUGCUGAUUUUAAUCUCUGUCCUUUCGCUGUAAUUAACUGUGAGCAUAACAGUCUUUUAAAGUUCAGUGAGUCCUUUUACUGAAUCAUUAAACCAAAGUGUGAUCUUGAGGACCAAACACAACUACAAAGUCUUAAUGGCAUGACACAAUAAAAGUUUACUUGCUGUUUAUGUGAAGUCUUCUGCAGGACUGGGUGCCCUAAUGGCCAACCAUUCUCUAAGCAGUUAGAGAACCAGGCUCUGCCAUCUCAGAGUCCACUGUUUCUAGUCACACAGACGGCAGAAUGAGAGCAAGGAAGAACAUGCAGGAUGUUUUAGAGGCCAGGCUUGUAAGUUUAAGUGUCACUUCUGUUCAGAUUCUAUUGGCCAGAACCCAGUCAUAUGGUGCCAGCCUAAAACAAGGAUGGUUGAAGAGGGGUCUUCUUGUGUCACCAAGAAGAGGAAAUAAAAAUGGUAGUUUAGUGGUUUGGUGUUAGGAAUGCUGAGUUACUUGUUUAACUGGCCUUCUACGCUUGCCAGCUGGACAGAUUGAAUCGAUUUAACCCAUCCCUGGGUGAUGAAAUUGUCCUCAACCCUAAUAUGGAGGUGGUUUGCAAAAGUAAGUCACUUUUCUUUUCAUAUGCUGCACAAGUAAAAGACAUCUGGUGGCUAUUUUUAAAGCCCAAUAGUUUUAUGCAAUAGUAUGCUGAGAAGUUGCAUGUAUUAUACAUGUUUAUGCUAAAUGGAAUUGUGAUUUCAGUGCACAGCUUUGAGCUGGUUACUUGAAGAAAUCCCACAGGGAAUUGCUUGGGCAGAAAAACAGCCUUUUACAUGGAAUCAGCACAGUUCCAGUCUAUUGCAUUAGGUUUGUAUAAAGGUUGUGUCUUAUGAGAAUCAGAGCUUUGGAAUCACAGAACACAAGGCUCUAAUAUGGGUCAAAUAUGACCUGCUUCACCCUGGAUUAUGGUUUACCUGAAAUUUUGACAGAAACAUUGUUCUUUUCCUAGUUCAGUGUUUGUCACUCUUGACUGUGUAUUAGAAUCACUGGGAGAGCUUUAAAAAAUGUAAAUGAUCUCCUGAUGUCUAUGCUCCUUCCAAGAACUAUUACAUCAGAAUUUCUCAGGGGUAGAGCUCAGGCUUAAGUAUGUUCAAAGAAUUCCCCAAGUGAUUCUAAAGUACAGUCAAGGUUGAGGAAUCACUGCCUCUCACUAGUUAACACACUUUGAAUUUCUAGGCCAGUAAAACUUAACUUCCCCACUGGUGAUGUCAGUUUCAAGUUGGCUUAAAUCAGUUAGUAAUUAUACAGGAAGCUAAAUGUAAUUAAGUGUAC
ensembl:lncRNA